UAUAUAUACUCUAUAUUAUUACUUUUACAUAUAAUAUAUAUAUGCAUAUAUCCGUACAUAUUAAAAGUAAAAUGUCCAGACAUAAUUUUUAAUAAACUUUUCCAUAAUUAUAAUAUAUAUUCAUCAGCGGUUAACUACAAAAAAUUAAUUAUAUGUGUAGAAUUUAACUAUACAUGCAUUAAUUUUAUGUAAAUUUUAGAAUUAAAUCAUUGUUGAUAACUAUUAUUUACAAAUUUAAAUUUAAAAGUUAACAAAUAUUUCUAAAAUUGGGAAAACACAAGUAUAUAAAGAUGGUAUAGUACAAAAUAAUAGUGAUAUUUCUUCAUAAACUAAAAAUUAAUUUUCUUGGGUAGAAAAUAAAUUUUGAUAAAAUUAAUAGUAAAAUAUUUACUCUCGAAAAAUAAAAAAAAAUAGCAUUUUAAUAACACACAUAAAAUUAUUUAAUAGUUUUGAGGUUCAUGUUUACUUUGCGUGUGUUUGUAGAGUUGGUCUUAUAUAGUACUAUUAAAUAAAAUUAACAAUUUUAUUUAAAAAAAAAAAGAAAAUCAUUAUUUUUUUAUUUUGAUCGUACGUAAAUUUUAGGAAGAAACAAGUAGAAUAUGGAUUUUGGUUUUUAAGAAGGAACUAGUAAGAGGAAGCAAAAACUAGUUUUCCUAUAAAAUAGGGAAUCUAUUUGACCAAAAUCAUGAUUGGGUAAAAAACUUUCAAAAACUAAAAACUAGUGUAGAAUCUACAAAACAAUCGACCUCUUAGUUUGAUAACUUUUUUUUAUCAACUUCUUUUAUAAAACCCAAUGGGCAAAAAAUUACAAACAUGGUAGUUAAAAAUCUAAUCGGCCUUUAAGUAACACUAAAUUAUGAGAAACAUAUAAUUAAAACGCAAAAGACAAUUUAAUUUUAAUAUAAUAGUGAAUUUGGCUAAGAAAAACAAGUGUCAUGUUCUGGUGAGAGUAUUUGAUGACGUUUCAUUCUCAGAAAAGAAUAAAACUUCUUUUAUAUAUAUAGAAGUAAAUAUUUUAUUAAUGGUAAAAUCAAAUACAAGACUUGACCGAAACAUGCCCAGAAAAAUCAUAUAAAUAGGGUUGUUUGUAAAAAGCAAAAAUAUAUCAUCAAUAGUUCAAUACUACUGUAUCAAAAGAAAUUAAUAGUAAAAACAAUAUGGGCAUCACAAAAACAUCUAUGACUAUGUCCUUUGUACUAAUAUUGUUGAUUUCUUUUUGUAAUUACAGUAUUUUGGCCAGACCAGAAAUCAAGCCAGGGAGUUAUGAAUGUACUGUGCCAUGUACUGCAGUUUACGGAAAUAGGGAGUGUUACAACUAUUGCACAAGUCAUAACUAUAAUGGAGGACAGUGUGAUGCUACAAAAGGUGGAGAACUACCGCAAUGUUGUUGCUAUAACUAUAUUAAUUAGUUUUUGCUAAACUGUGAUUUAAGCAAUAUGUCUUACUCAUACCAGAUUUUAAGUAUGAAUCUAUAAAUUAUUUUAAAAUAUCA